rnacentral:tRNA from 1 species
AGACAAUUAAUAGAUUGUGAUGUCUUAGUAAUUUAUUCUUAGGCCGCAAUCCUGUCACCUUAGGUCGAUGGGUACCUCAGAUUUAUGAAUUAAUUUUUUAAGGUUAAUACAUUAAUUUCAGUUUCUAAACUUGUCUAGGUCACGCCCAACAAGGGUUUCUCCUGGGCCAUUAGCUCAGGUGGUUAGAGCGCACCCCUGAUAAGGGUGAGGUCCCUGGUUCAAGUCCAGGAUGGCCCAUUCGUUGUUGGGGGUAUAGCUCAGUUGGUAGAGCGCCUGCUUUGCAAGCAGGAUGUCAGCGGUUCGAGUCCGCUUACCUCCACUGAAAACUACCCUGAUAACUAAUUUCAGGAGAAAAUUUGUAAAAUUGACUUAGAUUGUCUAUUUGAAUAGAACCUAGCUUCUUAUCAUCUUCUUUUAAGUUGAUAAUAUGCUGGGCUCAAGUGGAAGUAAUUUCCACAUGAAUUCAGUAGAACCUUGAAAACUGCAUAGAUAGUAAAGAAUAAAGCAUCUCAUGGAUGCAUAAUUCUUGUUUAAUUAUUUCGUUUUAAACUAAAUAAUUAUUACUAAGAAUUCAUGUUUAAUUCUUGAGUAAAAGCCGAGCACAAUUAAUUUUGUGAUUGUAUUUAAA